UUUUACCUGCGUCAGCAGUGACAUGGCUUUUGCUGUUCUCUUGGACAGAUGGUUGGUGACAACCGAAUGGGUCAUGUGCCACUGGGCUCCCCAGGUGUCCGAGUGUUUUGCCUGCCUGUAUAAACAUAUACUAUGAGUGCUGUGCCUUGGAGCUGGAAUGAACAUAGUUCUGUGCAUGAAUCCUCUGAAAGAGCGAGGCUGUGAAAAGUUCAGAUACUCACUGUGGGACCUAAGCAUCUCAGUAUCAUCACUUUUGGCUGGGGAAGACUGUAAGGUCCCUUCAGAAUUGGCAAUGGGCAGUGCUACCU